rnacentral:rRNA from 1 species
CCUACGGGGGGCAGCAGUGGGGAAUAUUGGACAAUGGGCGAAAGCCUGAUCCAGCCAUGCCGCGUGUGUGAAGAAGGCCUUCGGGUUGUAAAGCACUUUCAGUGGGGAAGAAAGCCUUGGGGCUAAUACCCUCGAGGAAGGACAUCACCCACAGAAGAAGCACCGGCUAACUCCGUGCCAGCAGCCGCGGUAAUACGGAGGGUGCGAGCGUUAAUCGGAAUUACUGGGCGUAAAGCGCGCGUAGGCGGUCUGAUAAGCCGGUUGUGAAAGCCCCGGGCUCAACCUGGGAACGGCAUCCGGAACUGUCAGGCUAGAGUGCAGGAGAGGAAGGUAGAAUUCCCGGUGUAGCGGUGAAAUGCGUAGAGAUCGGGAGGAAUACCAGUGGCGAAGGCGGCCUUCUGGACUGACACUGACGCUGAGGUGCGAAAGCGUGGGUAGCAAACAGGAUUAGAUACCCCUGAGUC